rfam:Ipomoea nil DNA, scaffold: scaffold1099, cultivar: Tokyo-kokei standard.
GUCUGGAUGGUGUAGUUUGUUAUCACACUAGUCUCAUAGACUGGAGGUCCCCAAUUCAAACCUGGGCUCAGACA